ensembl:misc_RNA Metazoa_SRP Metazoan signal recognition particle RNA
GCCGGGUGUGGUGGCGCACACCUGUGAUCCCAGCACUUGGGAGGCUGAGGCAGGAGGAUCUCCUUGAGUUCGAGGCCAGCCUGAUCUACAUAAUGAGUUCAGGACCAGCCUGAACUACAAAGGGAGACCCUGCCUCAA